AACGGUAGUUUCGCGGUACUGCUGUCUCGCGCGCUAACAUUAUUAACGGUAGUUUCGCGGUACUGCUGUGUCGAGGGCUAACGUUACUAACGGUAGUUUCGCGGUACAGCUGUGUCGAGGGCUAACGUUACUAACGGUAGUUUCGCGGUACAGCUGUGUCGAGGGCUAACGGUAGUUUCGCGGUACUGCUGUGUCGAGGGCUAACGUUACUAACGGUAGUUUCGCGGUACUGCUGUGUCGAGGGCUAACGGUAGUUUCGCGGUACUGCUGUGUCGAGGGCUAACUGUAGUUUCGCGGUACUGCUGUGUCGAGGGUUAACGUUAAUUUCGCGGAACUGCUGUCUCGCUGUCUUGCAUUUCACCGGCGUAUGGUUUAAUUGGCUGACUUUUAUCGCAGGCAUAUGCUAAACUGCGACAGGGACUAAAGAGGAAAAAGCGAGUGCCUAAUUGAUACCAAAACGUUUCUGCAAGAUAUCACCAUGCUGCUGAAGGUGAGAUACCAGAGUACCAAGAAGUACAUCCGAUUACAGCUAGGUUUCACCUAUUUGGAAUUCAUCACUGCAGUCAAAAACAAAUUUGGACUCCAUGAUGCAGCUGAACUUCACAUAUUUGAUGAAACUGACACUGCAGUGGAGGAAGACAUUCUUCUUGAACUGAUAAGAGUCCAAUCCAGACCUUUGCCUGAUCGUGCGUGACAGCAUUUCAGAUAAAGAUCAUUCAACACCAUCUUCUCUCACGGAUACAUGACGCUUUCUUCAAGUGACAAUGACCUCUCCGGUCAAAGACAAAGGGGGAUUUUGAGCUCUGAGGUCAUGGACAGGUCUACAAAAAAGGUUUCGGAUUCAGAGGCUGCAAAAGAGUAGAUGGUAGAAAAUGCCUUGCUCACCAAACCUGGAGGUGAAGAUGUCCUUGAAGAGUACAAAUCAGGAAAUUCGCUGAAGCACCGCACCCGUAGACAGCUUGUCAACAUAUUGGCUAGCCAUAUGACUGAAAUGGAUGGCUGAAUCAAGACUUCACGCUGCUGUUUGGUGCUGAGACGGCUUCCAAGAUGCUCGAGAAGUGGGAUACAGCAUUCAAGCCCACGGUCAUCAAAGAGGCCAAACACCUGACUCCGUCAACUGAGCUGUGCCAACUUCUGACAGCUGCAGAGAACCUUCCAGAAGAUGAUC